ACGACUGCCAACGUUUUCCUCCAGAUGAUCCAGACAAACUGGACCAGUGGAAGCUCAACAUGAGGCAGAACUGAACUGGGCUCAUCUCUUCAGCACUGACCCCAGGUCCACAUAUGGGAAGGACCUGCCUGAAGGAGUCCACUGUGUUGACCAUGUUCUGUCUCCAAGAGCAAAGAAGACAAAAUAAUCACUCAGUUCUUAUCAUUACAUGUACUGUUACACAGCUUUUGAAAUAUAUUUAAAUCACACAAACCUGUUAUUGCUUCAGGUUUUAUCUGUAGUGUAUGAGUUAUUUGUCAAUUAAUAGUCAGAUUUGAAUGUGAAAUCUCACAUAUUCAGUCAGUAUUAAAGACACAAAUAGUUAAGAUAUAAACAUAAUUUAUUAACCAGAACCAGAAGUUAUUGAUUAACUCUCAGAUUUAUUUUUAGUGAAGGUACAAAACACAAAAAGGUGGACAAAAUUAAAAUUAUAGAACACAUUUAAUAUACAGACUGGGCCUGUGCAAGCAGUAAAAGCUGAGCUCAGAAUGAGCCCAGAGCUGCAGAGUCCAUGUGGUGGGAGGAGGAGGGGAUACAGUGUGGGACUGUAGGGGAGGGGAAGAGCAGAGGUAAUAAGCGUUGUAGCUAUAGUUGGUAUUUUUUAUCAACAUUGAUGACCAUAAAAUAAACUCAACAUUGUCCAUGAAAGUCAGGGACAUGUUUAGACUUAACAAAGUGUGUCCUGAAGGCCAAAUUCAAUAGCAGUGACACUGCCAACUAUAGCAGUUACAGGUCCCCUUC
rnacentral:lncRNA from 1 species